AUUGAACGCUGGCGGCAGGCCUAACACAUGCAAGUCGAGCGAGCGGCGGACGGGUGAGUAAUGUAUGGUGACUGCGCGAAAGCGGGGGAUAAGUACGGGAAAAGGUAGCUAAUCCGGCAUACUAUCGGAUAACCCAUGUGGGAUUGGCUAGUGGGUGAGUUAAUGGCUCACCUAGGCGACGAUCCCUCGCUGGUCUGAGAGGAUGAUCAGCCACACUGGAACUGAGACACGGUCCAGACUCCGACGGAGGCAGCAGUGGGGAAUAUUGCACAAUGGGCGCAAGCCUGAUGCAGCCAUGCCGCGUGUAUGAAGAAGGCCCUAGGUUUGUAAAGUACUUUCAGUAGGGAGGCGUUACCGACAGAAGAAGCACCGGCUAACUACGUGCCAGCAGCCGCGGUAAUUC
rnacentral:rRNA from 1 species